CUUUUAAAAAUUACGUUUUAGCUUCUAGAAGCGUUGAUGUUUGUUUUACAAAAGGUCACGGCGGGCCGCCUCCUUGAAAACUUUUAUGAAGACCAUCAAAUUACCAAUAGAGCGAAUAUAUUAAAGUGUCGCAAGAAUAGUGUACCUGUUGUCAGUCACUCGGACGAUAUUGAGACAAAAUGCCCAGCUCCAAAGAAGAGCUAUUUAUCAGAUGUCAUGAGUCCAGUUGCAAAUCGUGAAACCUGAGCUAAAUGUUCGUAAAUGAAGUUUCCUACACUUCGGAAUCAAACUUCAGCCAACUAAGAAGAAACAAAAGCACUGCAAGACGUGAUUGCAAUCAGGAACAGCACGUUCGUCCGAAAUGGCCACAGUUUGAAGAAGAGCUUUCUUAAAAAAAGGCAAUAAGUUCUGGAA